CGGCAGGGGAAGAGAUAAGGAGAUAGGAGGAAGCUGCUGGGCAGAAUCCUUAUUCUUGACUGACUGUUUGGUUUUCAUUUGUUUUGCAGACUUGGGAACCGAAGCAGCCUUAGAAGAAGAUGUCUUCUUAAUUGUGGACUUUUUUUUGCUUGCUUGGCAGCAGGCACUUCAGAGGGAUUAGGAGCAGAGCUCGAGAACAUUCCGAGAGGACCGAUGCUGGCGCUGACUUAAGCCUUUUGUGUGCAUUCACAGAAGACCACGAUGAAGAACAAGAUAGUUUCACAGGCUGAAUUGACAUGUUAAUAUCAACUUCAUGGUCAUCAUUAGCAGGCCCUCAGUGAAAAUACUAGACAAGGGAUAUUUUCAAGAGAUAGCUGUUUGAAAACCAGGACAAAGGCAGACAUAACAGCUUAUCUUUUCAGAGGGCUGCUGUGAGGGCUGAAAAAUCUAUGUGUGAGCGCUGAUACAGAAAGCUGAGACCAUGGACUGAAGGCAAAGCUACAUAUGAUAUCAUCUGUGGAACAUGCACAUCAAAGCAAGCAUGUUUGGCAUCAUUCUGUGUAAGUAGAUUCAACUUUACUUGUGUACCCCUCCCUUUAAAAAUGCACAAUCAACAACAAUCUAACAGGU